CCGCGGCGGGUUGGGAAGCCAAUUGAAGCCGGUUCCUCAGGGAGGGGGCGGGGCUGCGCGGCCCAAGCGGCGACCCCCAGAGGGUGAGGGAAGGGCGGUCUCGUUGGUCCGCGCGGGCACCGGAAGCGGGCGGUACCGGUCACCAUGGAGGCGGCAGCGGCGGUGCGGCUGUGGGUGAAGACGGAGCCGUUCGUGGUGGGGGUCCUGCCCGCCCCGCCGCCCGCCCGCCUCGGCCCGCACUAUCUCCGGAAGAUGGCGGCGUACGCCCGAGCGCGGGCUGCCGAGGGCUGCUUCCCGCGGCUGUCGUGGCCCCGCUGGCGGCACAUCGCCUGCGGGAAGCUGCAGCUGGACCGCGGCCUAGCCUGGCUCUACUUCGAGCUCUUCCACAGCCUCCUCCGGCCCGACCCGCCGCGCAGCCUUGAGUGGGCCGAGGCCGAGGCGACCUGUGCCAGCGCCGAGGAGCUGGAACGGGAGCGGAGCAAGCUGUCGGUGGACACGCUGCAGUUCCUGCUCUUCCUGUACAUCCAGCAGGUAAGCAAGGUUUCUCUGCGGAGGUCUCUGAUCGGGGAGGAGUGGCCCAGCCCUCGGACCAAGUCUCCCAGCCUGACUGGAAAAUCCGCCAGCGAGAACAAGAUCUGGAACGAUCAGGACCACCGUGCCUUUGUGCAGAGCCACCUCUUGGAGAUGCUUGAACUGCUCCUGGAGCCCGAGCAGCUCAGUGCCUCCUCCCAUUCAACCCACAGUAGCCUGGUGUCCUACGAAGCUGUCUGUGCCCUCAGCUUCCUUAUUGAAGGGACUGUGAAUAAGUGUAGGACAGUCCAUCCACUGCAUGAGCUCGCCCUCUGGCAGUCCUGUCUCAGGCAGAAUGGCUACUCAAAGAUCUCUAGAGCCUUCUCUUUCCCUAGGCUAGAGAGCUGGCUGCGGUCUUGCCUGACAACAAACCCUUUUGGAAUGACUGCCUGCCUCAAGUCUGGGAAGAAACUCGCAUGGGCACAGCAAGUUGAAGGAACAACCAGGAGAGCAAAGAUUGCCUGCAAUACUUGUGUGGUUCCUGAGGUGUUUCCCAUGGUGAUAAUGAGUCAAGUGUACAAGCAGACGCUGGCCAAGAGCUCGGACACCCUGGUAGGGGCUCAUGUAAGAAUUCAUCGCUGCAAUGAGUCCUUCAUUUACCUCCUCUCUCCCCUCCGGUCUGUGACCAUUGAGAAGUGCCGGAAUAGCACUUUUGUCCUCGGCCCUGUGCAGGCAUCUGUGCACGUCCACAGCUGUGACAACGUCAAAGUCAUUGUGGUUUGCCAUCGUUUGUCCCUUUCUUCCACUGCUGGCUGUACUUUUUACACUCUCACACCUACCCAGCCUCUUAUCCUCUCGGGGAACCAAGCAGUCAGCUUUGCUCCUUUCCACACCCACUAUCCAAUGCUUGAAGAUCACAUGGCUCAGGUGGGCUUGGCCACUCUGCCGAACUACUGGGACAGUCCCAUGCUGGUGUGCAAGGAUAGCAGUGACACAAGUGUCUUCCGCCUCCUGCCACCCUCGGACUUCUACACCUUUGUGAUUCCUUUUGAGAUGGAAGGAGACACCACGGAGACGCCGGGUGGGCUUCCCCAUGCAUAUCAGAAGGCGCUGAGUCAGCGGGAGCAGAAUGUGCAGAUAUGGCAGAAAACUGUGAAGGAGGCAGGCCUGACCAAGGAACAGAGGAAACAGUUCCAGAUACUGGUAGAAACCAAGUUCUAUGAAUGGCUGGUUCAGACGGGGAACCGUCAGCAGCUGGAUAGCCUUGUCCCUCCUGCAGUAGGCUCCAAGCAGGCAGCAGGAUAGCAUCACAUUCCUGUGCAGCAAAAGGAAUGAAAGGAAGUGGUUUAGGAGCCAGAGACAAGCCUUUAUCAUGCUUUUCCACAAGUUUUUGGUGGCCGACAUGGGACACCAUUUGGACUGGACCUUGCUGGGGAAAUCGUCGCAGCCAGAGGCAUUCGCCAGAUGAACUCCAACACACACUGGUGUGAUUAUCCGAGGAUUCCCCUGGCGAACCCCUGGUUGUGAGCUCUAGGAAAACAGUUCUCAUUAAGACUUUGUGGCCGUCUUGCCUGAACACACUCAAUGUGGAUCUGACACCCACCCUUGGUGUGGAUUGGACUGUCUGUCUGGUUUAGGAUUUCUGAUUGCUGCCACUUUUGCGGGAAUGUUCUGCAGCUGUUCUAGUUGGUAACUGAGAAAGUAUGUUGCUAGAGGAUGAAGAAGUAUGCCUUCUUGAAUGAGGAGGCUGUCAUUGUGGCUAGUGUCCCUGGUGUACAAGUAUCCAGCAAAGCAGCCCUUCCUGGUGCAAAGCUGGAUGCAGGGCCCUUGGUAUCACCUGCAUCUUUUUAUGGUACAAACCAGCUGCACUGUUUUUGUGAAUGUGAAAAAGAAAUGUUUGAUUUUGUUAUGAAUGAAAUACAACUGAUUUUUGUAAAGUAAAUUGAUUUAAAUUUAGAUUGAUUUUUUUAAAUACAAAGAUGGCACUUAAGCAGUGUGAUUUUAUGGAAUUCACUUCCUUGUAUGUUUGACAUGUUUUUGACAAAUGUCAAUAAAACAGCUCUUAGAUAAGCUU